GACCGCGUAGCUCGGUUGGAAGAGCAUUGGGCUAGUAUUCCAAAGGUCGUAGGUUCGAAUCCCACCAUGGCCG
rnacentral:tRNA from 1 species